rnacentral:tRNA from 1 species
AUUUAUGUAAUAUAAUAAUAUUAUAUUUGACUUCCAAUCAAAAAAUCUAGAAAUAGCACUCAUA